UUUUGUGGUAAGGACAAAUUGGGCAGAAAAUGAGAGUAUAGCAGAUGAUUAGCCAUGUUUUGAUGUAUAUGUUGCCCACUAAGCACUUUCUGCUUAUUUUACAGUCUCCAUUGUGUAUAGUAAUAUUUUUAAUAGAGGGGAAUCUAUUGCUGACUACUGAUGGACACUUUUUGUUUCUGAAGCCUUCAUCAUCUUUGAUUGAACGUUACAGGUGGAAGAUUGAAUCACCAAAAGUGUGUAUAGCCCACUCACACUUGAGUGGGGGAGGUCUGUGACCCACGUGUGCAAUAGUGGGUGAUGAAUCAGAUAAACCACUGAUUGCCUGCUGGUAGCCAUAAUUGG
rnacentral:lncRNA from 1 species